CCUACGGGCGGCUGCAGUGGGGAAUAUUGGACAAUGGGCGAAAGCCUGAUCCAGCCAUGCCGCGUGUGUGAAGAAGGCCUUCGGGUUGUAAAGCACUUUCAGUGGGGAAGAAAGCCUUGGGGCUAAUACCCUCGAGGAAGGACAUCACCCACAGAAGAAGCACCGGCUAACUCCGUGCCAGCAGCCGCGGUAAUACGGAGGGUGCGAGCGUUAAUCGGAAUUACUGGGCGUAAAGCGCGCGUAGGCGGUCUGAUAAGCCGGUUGUGAAAGCCCCGGGCUCAACCUGGGAACGGCAUCCGGAACUGUCAGGCUAGAGUGCAGGAGAGGAAGGUAGAAUUCCCGGUGUAGCGGUGAAAUGCGUAGAGAUCGGGAGGAAUACCAGUGGUGAAGGCGGCCUUCUGGACUGACACUGACGCUGAGGUGCGAAAGCGUGGGUAGCAAACAGGAUUAGAUACCCCGGUAGUC
rnacentral:rRNA from 1 species